UAACAACAAAACCGUUUUUCUCAAGGUUUCUUAGCACCAAGGAAAUAAUAGCAAAGGGGCAAGAAAUAGUAUUUUGUGGCAGUCAUGACUCUUUGAGUCUGGGGUCAUUAUUUGGAUGUUACUCACAUUGGUCCAGGUGGAGAGAAACUCCUGUUUUGAGAGACUAAUGCCAGAGAUCGAACCUGCAACCUCAUGGUUCCUAGUCGGAUUUGUUAACCACUGCGCCAUGAUGGGAACUCCGCAGACACAAUAGACUUUAAAACAGAGAUUAACAAGAGAUGAGGGGCAUUGUAUAAUGAUAAAGGGAUCAAUCCAGCAAAGAUACAGCACUUGUAAAUAUAUAUGCACCUAACCAAGGAGCACUUAUAUACAUAAAGCAAAUCUUAACAGAUAUAAAGGGAGAAAGUAAUACAGUAAUAGUAGGGGACCUUAAUAUAUCACAUCAAUGGACAGAUCAGACAAGCAGUAAGGAAAAACUGGCCUUAAAUGACACAGCAGAUCAUAUUAAUUCAAUCAAUAUAUAUAUAUAGAAAACAUUCCAUCCCAAAUUAGCAAAAUACACAUUUUGAAAUGCACAUGGAACAUUCUUCAGGAUAGAUCACACUCUAGGUCUUAAUAAAUUUAAAAAGAUGAAAAUCAUAUCAAGCAUCUUUUCCAACAACAAUAUGAGAUUAGAAAUCACCUAUAAGAAAAAAAUUGCAAAUAACACAUGGAGGCUACGUAGUAUGUUACUAAAUAACCAAAGUGUGACUAAAGAAAUCAAAGAGGGAAUUAAAUACCUGGAGGCAAAUGAAAAUGGAAGCACAACCAUACACAAUCUAUGAGAGCAGCAAACACAGUUCUAAGAGGGAAACUUACAGUGAUAAAAGCCUACCUUAGGAAACAAAAUCUCAAACAACCUAACCUUAUGCCUAAAGGAACAAAAAAAGGGGAACAAUACCCAUGGUUAGUAGAAGAAAGAUACAAUAAAGGUCAGCAGAAAUAAAUGAAAUAGAGACCAAAAAACAAUAGAAAUGAUCAGUGAAACUGAAAGCUGGUUCUUUGAAAAGAUAUAAAAUAUUGAUAAACCUUUAGCCAGACUUAUCAUGAAAAAAUAGAGAGGGCCCAAGUAAGUAAAAUCAAUAAUGAAAAAUGAGAAGUAACAACCAACAACACAAAAAUACAAAACAUUAGAGAUUACUGCAGACAAUUAUAUGCCAGUAAAAUGGACAACCUAGAAGAAAUGAAUAAAUUCCUAGAAACACACAAUCUCCCAAGACCGAAUCAGGAAGAAAUACAGAAUUUGAACAGACUGAUUGCUAAUAAUAAAAAUGAGUCUAUAAUCAGUAACUGCCAGCAAACAAAUAUUCAGGACAUCUUCACAGGUGAAUUCUACCAAACAAUUAAAGAAGAGUUAAUGCUUAUUUGUCUCAAGCUAUUCCAUAAAUGUUGAAGAGGAAGGAAUGCUUUUGAACUUAUUCUGUGAGAGCAGCAUCACCUUGAUACUAAAACCAGACAAAGAUACCACAAAAAAAGAAAAUUACAGGCAACUGUAUCUGAUGAAUAGAGAUGCAAAAAUCCUCAACAUAAUAUUAGCAAACUCAAUUUAUCAAUACCUUAAAAAGAUCAUACACCAUGAUCAAGUAAGGUCUAUCUUACAGACUUAAAAAUGGUCCCACACCUGCAUAUCACAGUUUGAUACUCUAUAUUAACGUAUUGCAGAACAAAAAUCAUAGAGUCAUCUCAGUUGAUGCAGAAAAGACUUUUCACAAAAUUCAGUAUCAGUUCAUGAUAAAAAAGCUUAACAAAAUUGGUAUGGAGAGACUGUACCUCAACAUAAGAAAGACUAGGUAUGAGAAACCUGUAGGCAGCAUCAUACUCAACACUGAACAGCUUAAUGUAUUUCCUCUUACAUCAAGAAACAGACAAAGAUGCCCAUUCUUACUACUUUCAUGCAACAUAAUAUUGAAUCAUUGUUGCAUAAAUGCCACAGCAUUCAGACCAAAAAGCAUUCAUGACAAACAAACAAAAGAAUUCAGGCAUCCAAAUUGGAAAGGAAAGAAUAAAACUGUCACCAUUUGCAGAUAACAUGAUAUAUUAUAUAUAGAUUAACCUAAAGAUGCCACCAAAAAACCAAAACUAUUUUAUAUCAGUAAAGUUGCAGGAUAUAAAGUAAAUAUAGGGAAAUAUUAUGUUUUUGUACACUAACAAUUAUCAGAAAGAGAAAUUAAGAAAGUAGUGCCGUUUACAGUCACAUCAAAAAUAAUAAGGAGUUCCUGCUGUGGUGCAGAGAGUUUAAAGUCUGACUACAGCAGCUUGGGUCAUGUUUUUUUUUGAUCCCUGGCCUGGCACAGUGGGUUAAAGCAUCCAGGGUUGCUGCAGCCGUGGCUUGGAUUCAGUCCCUGGCCCAGGAAAUUCCAUAUGCUGUGAGUGCAGC
ensembl:lncRNA